rnacentral:rRNA from 1 species
AUACGGAGGGGGCAAGCGUUGUUCGGAAUUAUUGGGCGUAAAGGGCACGUAGGCGGUCAAGUAAGUUGGUGGUGAAAGCCCUCGGCUCAACCGAGGAAUUGCCCCCAAAACUGCUAGACUUGAGUCCCGGAGAGGGUGGCGGAAUUCCCAGUGUAGCGGUGAAAUGCGUAGAUAUUGGGAGGAACACCAGUGGCGAAGGCGGUCACCUGGACGGGUACUGACGCUGAGGUGCGAAAGCGUGGGGAGCAAACAGGAUUAGAAACCCCUGUAGUCC